UCGGGAAUUUUGGGCAAUGGGCGAAAGCCUGAUCGAGCGACGCCGCGUGCAGGAUGAAGGCCCUCGGGUUGUAAACUGCGGUAGUAGGGGAGGAACGCAAGUGACUGUACCCUACGGAAAGUGGUUGGUAACUACGUGCCAGCACCAGCGGUAAUACGUAGACCACAAGCGUUAUCCGGAUUUAUUGGGCGUAAAGAGCAUGUAGGAGGUCCGGUGCGUCUCUGGUUAAAGCCCACCGCCUAACGGUGGAAGUGCCAGAGAUACGAUCGGACUGGAGGAUGUGAGAGGUGCAUGGAACUCACGGUGUAGGGGUGAAAUCCGUUGAUAUCGUGGGGAACACCAAAGGCGAAGGCAGUGCACUGGUACAUUCCUGACUCUGAGAUGCGAAAGCGUGGGGAGCAAAAAGGAUUAGAUACCCCCGUAGUCCCUGAGCGGGCUGGCAAGGCGCAU
rnacentral:rRNA from 1 species